AAUGUUGAGUUAACAAAGCAGCAAAUUGAAGAGAUUGUGAAGGCAUUAGUUUUGGAUGACGAGAUCAUAGAAGUUAAGAGUAAUGGAAUGGGUGAAUUUGCUUCUAUUCCAGUUGGCAAAAUUUGUUAUAAAUGCAUUCGUAAGGGAAGCAUCGGAGGGGAACCAAAAACUGGGGCAAUGGCAUCUAUUCCAUGUGGAGUUUGUCCACGGAUGCGGCAAUGUACACCUGAUGGCAUCAUCUCCCCUCAAACUUGUGUAUACUAUAGCAAGUGGUUGGAUUUUUAACUUAUUUGUAUUCAGCUAAGAAAAUUUCUGGCAUGGUUUGCAUGUAUAUUUUAUAAUCACCCC
rnacentral:misc_RNA from 1 species